GUAUAUUCUAUAAAUAAUCUAAGUAAUUUUAAGCAGUUGAAGGAUGUCUAGGUAUUGAAAAAAGGACGUAUUAUUUUACGAAAAGUUGUGUGGAGAUAAUGAUGUCUGUAAUACACAAGUUUCCUAAAGGAGAAAUCCAGUAUUUUCUAUCAUGAAAAUGAUAAAAGCCAAUGAACUGAAACAUCUAAGUAAUUGGUAUAAAAAGAAAUCAAAAGAGAUUCCGUUAGUAUUGGCGAUAGAACGCGGAAUAGGCCAGAUACAUAUGUUUGAACAUCAAAAAAGUUUUGUAAUAACUUGCCAAAGAAGGUAAAAGUCCUGUAUGACACUAUAAAACAUAGCCAUCUUAAAAAUGAGUAGAUCGAGACACGUGAAAUCUUGUUUGAAUAUAGGGGGACCAUCCUCUAAGCCUAAAUAUUUUCAAUAACCGAUAGUGUACAAGUACCGUAAGGGAAAGAUGAUUUUUGUUUUUACAUUUAAAAACUGAAAUUGACUGCUGACAAGCAAUUGGAGCUUUACAAAAGUAAAGUAACAGUGUACCUUUUGCAUAAUGGGCCAGUGACUUAACUUAUAUAGCGAGCUUAAAUGAGUAAAAUGAAGGCGUAGCGAAAGCAAAUCUUAAAAGGUCUUAAGUUAUAUAAGUUAGACCCGAAACCAAGUGAUCUAACCAUGAGCAGGCUGAAAAUAAGGUAAAACUUAUAGGAGGGCCGAACUCAUGUAUGUGGCAAUAUACUGAAAUGACUUGUGGUUAGGGGUGAAAGGCCAAUCAAACUUGGAGAUAGCUGGUUUUCCGCGAAAUCUAUUUAGGUAGAGCGUUCUAAUAUUUAUUUCUAGGGGUAGAGCACUAUUACGGUGCGGGGGGCCCAAAGCCUUACUAAAUCGUGAUAAACUCCAAAUACUAGAAAAUACUUUAGAGCAGACAGACUAUGACAGCAAAGUGCCAUCAGUCGAAAGGGAAAUAGCCCAGAUCAUACAUUAAGGUCCUUAAGUUAUAACUAAGUGGGAAAGGAAGUGAAAAUACGAAGACAACCAGGAGGUAGGCUUGGAAGCAGCCAUCCUUUAAAGAAAGCGUAAUAGCUCACUGGUCUAAUUGAAUAAUUUCAGACGUUUUUUUGCGCCGAAAAUGUAUCGGGGCUAAAGUUAUACACCGAAAUGAUGAAAUUGAUAAAAAAUUAUUAAUUAGUAGCGGAACGUUCUGUAAGUUGAUAAAGAAGGCUUUCAAAAGCCUUUGGAGAUAUCAGAAUUGAAAAUGCUGGCAUGAGUAACGAUAAAUAAGGUAUAAACCUUAUCGCCGAAAGCCUAAGGUUUCUUACGUCAAGAUAAACUUCGUAUAGGUAAGUCGGCCCCUAAGGAAAUAGCGAAAGCUUUAACCAAUGGGAAUUUUUGUUCAUAAACCGUGUAUGCGUGACUGCUUUAAAAAUUAACUCAACUAUAAAGUACAAGAAAAAGCGUUUACAAUAUUAAAGAAACUUAAUAAAGACCGUACUAAAACCGACACAGGUAGGCUGGUAGAGUAUACUAAGGCGCUUGAGAGACCCAUCUUAAAGGAACUCGGCAAAAUGAUCCCGUAACUUCGGAAUAAGGGAUGACGCAUUGAAAAAUGCGCCGGCACAAAAUCGGGGGUAGCGACUGUUUAUCAAAAACACAGGACUCUGCUAAGUGGUAACAUGAAGUAUAGGGUCUGACACCUGCCCGGUGCUGGAAGGUUAAGUGGAGAUGUUAACGCAUUAAAAUGAAGCCCCAGUAAACGGCGGCGGUAACUAUAACCGUCCUAAGGUAGCGAAAUUCCUUGUCACCUAAUUAGUGACCUGCAUGAAUGGUGUAACGACUUCCCCACUGUCUCUAAGAUGGACUCAGUGAAAUUGAAAUCUCCGUGAAGAUGCGGAGUACCCGUGGUUAGACGGAAAGACCUUGUGCACCUUUACUACAUCUUUACAUUGUUAUGGGAAUUUAGAUGUGUAGGAUAAGUGGGAGCCUAUGAAAUAUUAACGCUAGUUAGUGUGGAGGCAUUCUUGAAAUACCACUCUUUUACAUUUCUGUAACUUAAGCUUUAAAAAGUGACAGUGUAUGGUUGGUAGUUUGCCUGGGGCGGGAGCCUCCUAAAGAGUAACGGAGGCGCGCGAAGGUAGGCUCAGCUUGGUUGGAAAUCAAGUUUAGAGUGUAAUGGCAUAAGCCUGCUUGACUGUAAGACUGACAAGUCGAACAGGGACGAAAGUCGGCCAUAGUGAUCCGGUGGUUCUGUAUGGAAGGGCCAUCGCUCAACGGAUAAAAGGUACGCCAGGGAUAACAGGCUGAUGAUUCCCAAGAGCUCUUAUCGACGGAAUUGUUUGGCACCUCGAUGUCGUCUCAUCACAUCCUGGGGGUGAAGAAGCUCCCAAGGGUUCGGCUGUUCGCCGAUUAAAGUGGUACGUGAGAUGGGUUCAGAACGUCGUGAGACAGUUCGGUCCCUAUCUGCCAUGGGUGUUGGAAAAUUGAGAAGAGUUGACUCUAGUACGAGAGGACCGAGUUGAACAAGCCGCUGGUGUACCAGUUGUCGCAACGCGCGGCACCGCUGGGUAGCUACGCUUGGGCUGAGUAACCACUGAAAGCAUAUAAAUGGGAACCUCACUUCAAAACAAAUUUUCCUUAUUAAUCGUGAUAGACAAUCACGUAGAUAGGUUAAGCGUAUAAGUAUAGUAAUAUACUAAGCGUAUUAAUACUAAUGAAUUUAAAGAUACUUUUGUAU
rnacentral:rRNA from 1 species